rnacentral:rRNA from 1 species
UACAGAGGUCUCAAGCGUUGUCCGGAAUCACUGGGCGUAAAGGGCGCGUAGGUGGCGACUCAAGUCAACGGUGAAAGCUCGACGCUCAACGUCGAGUCGGCCGUCGAAACUGGGACGCUUGAGCACUGUAGAGGCAGAUGGAAUUCCGGGUGUAGCGGUGGAAUGCGUAGAGAUCCGGAAGAACACCGAUGGCGAAGGCAAUCCCCUGGGCCUGCACUGACGCUCAGGCACGAAAGCGUGGGGAGCAAACAGG